UGGGGAAUAUUGGACAAUGGGGGGAACCCUGAUCCAGCAAUGCCGCGUGUGUGAAGAAGGCCUGAGGGUUGUAAAGCACUUUCAGAGGGGAGGAGGACUAUUAGGUUAAGAGCUAGAUAGUUGGACGUUACCCUCAGAAGCAGCACCGGCUAACUCCGUGCCAGCAGCCGCGGUAAUACGGGGGGUGCAAGCGUUAAUCGGAAUUACUGGGCGUAAAGUGUGCGCAGGCGGCUUCGCAAGUCGAGUGUGAAAUCCCCGGGCUUAACUUGGGAACGGCGCUCGAAACUACGGAGCUAGAGUAUGGCAGAGGGAGGUGGAAUUCCACGUGUAGCGGUGAAAUGCGUAGAGAUGUGGAGGAACACCAAUGGCGAAGGCAGCCUCCUGGGCCAAUACUGACGCUCAUGCACGAAAGCGUGGGGAGCAAACAGGAUUAGAUACCCUAGUAGUCCCUGAGCGGGCUGGCAAGGCGCAU
rnacentral:rRNA from 1 species